rnacentral:rRNA from 1 species
AGGGGCCCCUCUCGGGUUACCGAAUUCAGACAAACUCCGAAUGCCAAUUAAUUUAACUUGGGAGUCAGAACAUGGGUGAUAAGGUCCGUGUUCGAAAGGGAAACAGCCCAGACCACCAGCUAAGGUCCCAAAAUAUAUGUUAAGUGGAAAAGGAUGUGGCGUUGCCCAGACAACUAGGAUGUUGGCUUAGAAGCAGCCAUCAUUUAAAGAGUGCGUAAUAGCUCACUAGUCGAGUGACACUGCGCCGAAAAUGUACCGGGGCUAAACAUAUUACCGAAGCUGUGGAUUGUCCUUUGGACAAUGGUAGGAGAGCGUUCUAAGGGCGUUGAAGCAUGAUCGUAAGGACAUGUGGAGCGCUUAGAAGUGAGAAUGCCGGUGUGAGUAGCGAAAGACGGGUGAGAAUCCCGUCCACCGAUUGACUAAGGUUUCCAGAGGAAGGCUCGUCCGCUCUGGGUUAGUCGGGUCCUAAGCUGAGGCCGACAGGCGUAGGCGAUGGAUAACAGGUUGAUAUUCCUGUACCACCUAUAAUCGUUUUAAUCGAUGGGGGGACGCAGUAGGAUAGGCGAAGCGUGCGAUUGGAUUGCACGUCUAAGCAGUAAGGCUGAGUAUUAGGCAAAUCCGGUACUCGUUAAGGCUGAGCUGUGAUGGGGAGAAGACAUUGUGUCUUCGAGUCGUUGAUUUCACACUGCCGAGAAAAGCCUCUAGAUAGAAAAUAGGUGCCCGUACCGCAAACCGACACAGGUAGUCAAGAUGAGAAUUCUAAGGUGAGCGAGCGAACUCUCGUUAAGGAACUCGGCAAAAUGACCCCGUAACUUCGGGAGAAGGGGUGCUCUUUAGGGUUAACGCCCAGAAGAGCCGCAGUGAAUAGGCCCAAGCGACUGUUUAUCAAAAACACAGGUCUCUGCUAAACCGUAAGGUGAUGUAUAGGGGCUGACGCCUGCCCGGUGCUGGAAGGUUAAGAGGAGUGGUUAGCUUCUGCGAAGCUACGAAUCGAAGCCCCAGUAAACGGCGGCCGUAACUAUAACGGUCCUAAGGUAGCGAAAUUCCUUGUCGGGUAAGUUCCGACCCGCACGAAAGGCGUAACGAUUUGGGCACUGUCUCAACGAGAGACUCGGUGAAAUCAUAGUACCUGUGAAGAUGCAGGUUACCCGCGACAGGACGGAAAGACCCCGUGGAGCUUUACUGUAGCCUGAUAUUGAAAUUCGGCACAGCUUGUACAGGAUAGGUAGGAGCCUUUGAAACGUGAGCGCUAGCUUACGUGGAGGCGCUGGUGGGAUACUACCCUAGCUG